rnacentral:rRNA from 1 species
ACUGCUCAGUAACACGUGGACAACCUACCCUUGGGUCUGGCAUAAUCCUGGGAAACUGGGUAUAAUUCCAGAUAGGUCACAGAUGCUGGAAUGCACUGUGGCCGAAAGCUCCGGCGCCCAAGGAUGGGUCUGCGGCCUAUCAGGGUUGUAGUGGGUGUAACGGACCUACUAGCCUACGACGGGUACGGGUUGUGAGAGCAAGAGCCCGGAGAUGGAUUCUGAGACACGAAUCCAGGCCCUACGGGGUGCAGCAGGCGCGAAAACUUUACAAUGCGGGAAACCGUGAUAAGGGAAUCUCGAGUGCCAGCAUAUAAUGUUGGCUGUCCAGAUGCCUAAAAAGCAUCUGUUAGCAAGGGCCGGGCAAGACCGGUGCCAGCCGCCGCGGUAACACCGGCGGCCCGAGUGGUAACCGCUUUUAUUGGGUCUAAAGGGUCUGUAGCCGGCCAAGUAAGUCCCUUGGGAAAUCUGGCAGCUUAACUGUCAGGCUGCUAGGGGAUACUGCUAGGCUUGGGACCGGGAGAGGUGAGAGGUACCUUGGGGGUAGGGGUGAAAUCUUGUGAUCCUCGGGGGGCCACCAGUGGCGAAGGCGUCUCGCCAGAACGGGUCCGACGGUAAGGGACGAAAGCUAGGGGCACGAACCGGAUUAGAUACCCGGGUAGUCCUAGCCGUAAACGAUGCUCGCUAGGUGUCAGUCACGGUGCGACCGUGAUUGGUGCCGUAGGGAAGCCGUGAAGCGAGCCACCUGGGAAGUAUGGCCGCAAGGCUGAAACUUAAAGGAAUUGGCGGGGGAGCAC